rnacentral:rRNA from 1 species
GUAAGGAAUAUUGGGCAAUGGGCGCAAGCCUGACCCAGCCAUGCCGCGUGAAGGAUGACGGCCCUAUGGGUUGUAAACUUCUUUUGUACGGGAAAAAACCCCUGGUCGUGUACCAGGGCUGAUGGUACCGUAAGAAUAAGCAUCGGCUAACUCCGUGCCAGCAGCCGCGGUAAUACGGAGGAUGCAAGCGUUAUCCGGAUUCAUUGGGUUUAAAGGGUGCGCAGGCGGAUUGGUAAGUCAGUGGUGAAAUCCUACGGCUCAACUGUAGAACUGCCAUUGAUACUGCCGAUCUUGAGUACACUUGAAGUGGGCGGAAUGUGUCAUGUAGCGGUGAAAUGCUUAGAUAUGACACAGAACACCGAUCGCGAAGGCAGCUCACUAAAUUGUAACUGACGCUCAUGCACGAAAGCGUGGGGAUCAAACAGGAUUAGAAACCCUAGUAGUCC